rnacentral:rRNA from 1 species
GAUGAACGCUAGCGGCAGGCCUAACACAUGCAAGUCGAGGGGUAGUUGUCUUCGGACAAUGAGACCGGCGCACGGGUGCGUAACGCGUAUGCAAUCUACCUUAUACUAAGGGAUAGCCCAGAGAAAUUUGGAUUAAUACCUUAUAGUUAAUAGAGUUGGCAUCGACUUUAUUAUAAAGAUUAAUUGGUAUAAGAUGAGCAUGCGUCCCAUUAGUUAGUUGGUAAGGUAACGGCUUACCAAGAUGAUGAUGGGUAGGGGUCCUGAGAGGGAGAUCCCCCACACUGGUACUGAGACACGGACCAGACUCCUACGGGAGGCAGCAGUGAGGAAUAUUGGUCAAUGGGCGCAAGCCUGAACCAGCCAUGCCGCGUGCAGGAUGAAGCAUCUAUGGUGUGUAAACUGCUUUUGUACGGGAAGAAAAAAAGCUACGUGUAGCUUACUGACGGUACCGUAAGAAUAAGGAUCGGCUAACUCCGUGCCAGCAGCCGCGGUAA